rnacentral:rRNA from 1 species
AGACAGGUCGGCUGCUAUCUAUUGGGGGUGUAAUGGUACUUGACGUGAACGAACGUAUAGUACGAGAGGAACUACGUUUGGUCGCCACUGGUGUAUCGGUUGUUCGAGAGAGCAAAUGCCGGGUAGCCACGCGACACGGGGUAAGAGCUGAACGCAUCUAAGCUCGAAACCCACAUGGAAAAGAAGUACCGACGAGGUCACUCGUAGAAGACGAGUUAGAUAGACUCGGGAUGUACGCGCCGAGGCAACGAGGCGUUGUAGUCCACGAGCACUAACAGACCGAAGCCACAGUCAU